rnacentral:sRNA from 1 species
GCCGGGUGUGGUGGAAUGUGCCUGUAAUCCCAGCUACUUGGGAGGCUGAGGCAGGAGAAUUGCUUGAACAUGGGAGGCGGAGGUUAUAGUGAGCUGAGAUCGUGCCACUGCACUCCAGCCUGGGUGACAGAGUGAGACUCCGUAUCGAAAAAAAAAAGUUACUAUACACAUUCAAAACAGUUAUAACAAGGAUAGUAAGAAUAAUAAUUUUAUUUUUUGAGGCAGAUACUCACUCUGUUGCCCAGGCUGGAGUGCAGUGGCACGAUCUCAGUUCACUGCAACCUCAGCCUCCUGGGUUCAAGUAAUUCUCCUGCCUCAG